UAAGGACACUACUAACGAAGCGUAUAACUUCUAUUGAAAGGUUCCAGAGUAGGCGCUACAACGCCGAAAUGACCUUCUCACCCUUGUGUUCUCACUAUGUUGCUUUGGCGGGUCGACCUGGUUCCGACCCAGGCGGCCGGCGCCCCCAGCCUUAACUGGCCAGGACGCCCGGCUAAGUGCCCGCCAGUAUACAAAACUCAAGAAUUCAUUUUGUGAAGUCCUGAUAUAUCAUUUAAUUGAUUAAAACUUUCAACAACGGAUCUCUUGGUUCUGGCAUCGAUGAAGAACGCAGCGAAAUGCGAUAAGUAAUGUGAAUUGCAGAAUUCAGUGAAUCAUCGAAUCUUUGAACGCACAUUGCGCCCUCUGGUAUUCCGGAGGGCAUGCCUGUUCGAGCGUCAUUUCAACCCUCAAGCUCUGCUUGGUAUUGGGCAACGUCCGCUGCCGGACGUGCCUUGAAGACCUCGGCGACGGCGUCCUAGCCUCGAGCGUAGUANUAAAAUAUCUCGCUUUGGAGUGCAUGGCGACGGCCGCCGGACAAUCGACCUUCGGUCUAUUUUUCAAGGGUGACCUCGGAUCAGGUAGGAAUACCGCUGAACUUAAGCAUAUCAAUACGGGGGGAAA
rnacentral:rRNA from 1 species